rnacentral:rRNA from 1 species
UGGGGGCAGCCUACAAUGCAGUCGAGCGGUACAGGGGUAGCUUGCUACCCGCUGACGAGCGGCGGACGGGUGAGUAAUGCAUAGGAAUCUGCCCGGUAGUGGGGGAUAACCUGGGGAAACCCAGGCUAAUACCGCAUACGUCCUACGGGAGAAAGGGGGCUCCGGCUCCCGCUAUUGGAUGAGCCUAUGUCGGAUUAGCUAGUUGGUGAGGUAAAGGCUCACCAAGGCAACGAUCCGUAGCUGGUCUGAGAGGAUGAUCAGCCACAUCGGGACUGAGACACGGCCCGAACUCCUACGGGAGGCAGCAGUGGGGAAUAUUGGACAAUGGGGGCAACCCUGAUCCAGCCAUGCCGCGUGUGUGAAGAAGGCCCUCGGGUUGUAAAGCACUUUCAGCGAGGAAGAACGCCUAGUGGUUAAUACCCAUUAGGAAAGACAUCACUCGCAGAAGAAGCACCGGCUAACUCCGUGCCAGCAGCCGCGGUAAUACGGAGGGUGCAAGCGUUAAUCGGAAUUACUGGGCGUAAAGCGCGCGUAGGUGGCUUGAUAAGCCGGUUGUGAAAGCCCCGGGCUCAACCUGGGAACGGCAUCCGGAACUGUCAGGCUAGAGUGCAGGAGAGGAAGGUAGAAUUCCCGGUGUAGCGGUGAAAUGCGUAGAGAUCGGGAGGAAUACCAGUGGCGAAGGCGGCCUUCUGGACUGACACUGACACUGAGGUGCGAAAGCGUGGGUAGCAAACAGGAUUAGAUACCCUGGUAGUCCACGCCGUAACGAUGUCGACCAGCCGUGGGUGCCUAGAGCACUUUGUGGCGAAGUUAACGCGAUAAGUCGAC